UGUCUCUGAAGGUACUGAUGGCAGAGCUGUUUUGAUGGACAGCCCUUACAGCAGACUUCAUCAUCCUAUGUCUGACUUUAGACGACAUCUAUGGAAUAAGAAAAGCCAGCUUCCAACCUUGCUCCAGUAUUUAGUGUAACAAGGAGCCCAAAAUGCAUGUUUCCAUCCACAAUGAAGUAUUCUGGCCUCCAUGGAGAAAACUUACUCUUCAAAAUAUACGAUUCCACAAUAUUAACAUUGUUUAACUUAUAAAAUAAAUUACUGCUACUGAUUAUAAUUAGCUUACCUUAAAAUAAAAGUCAUCAGAAUUUUUUCCAGCA